UCCGAUAUAGUCCAGUGGUUAGGAUGUCUGGCUUUCACCCCCACCGUUAAAGGCCCCAGGAGACCCGAGUUCAAACCUCGGUAUUGGAA
rnacentral:tRNA from 1 species